rnacentral:lncRNA from 1 species
UUUUUUUUUAGGACAAGGUCUCUCUUUGUUGCCCAGGCUGGAGUGGCACGAUCUUGGCUCACUGCAGUCUCUACCCGGGUUCAAGCAAUUCUCAUGCCUCUGCCUCCUGAGUAGCUGAGACUACAGGCGCAGGCAACCACGCCUGGCUAAUUUUUUGUAUUUUUAGUGGAGACAGGGUUUCACCAUGUUGGCCAGGCUGGUCUCGAACUCCUGACCUCAGGCGAUCCACCUGCCUCGACCUCCCCAAAGUGCUGGAGUUACAGGCAUGAGCCACUUCACCCGGCUCACAGCUGUAAUUUGAACCCAGAUCUAGCAACAGUGACGUUGCGGGGGUGGGGGAAGCCCUCCCUGCUGUGGGUCCCUUUCCUCUCGGGAAGAGGGGGUGGGGGAGUCAGGGCGGGGCUGGG